rnacentral:rRNA from 1 species
GCAACAGCUAGAGUUUGAUCCUGGCUCAGGAUGAACGCUGGCGGCGUGCUUAACACAUGCAAGUCGAGCGAAGCGGUAAGGACGGAAUCCUUCGGGAGGAAGAUUUUACUGACUUAGCGGCGGACGGGUGAGUAACGCGUGGGUAACCUGCCUCAUACAGGGGGAUAACAGUUAGAAAUGACUGCUAAUACCGCAUAAGCGCACAGGACCGCAUGGUCCGGUGUGAAAAACUCCGGUGGUAUGAGAUGGACCCGCGUUAGAUUAGCUUGUUGGUGGGGUAAUGGCCUACCAAGGCGACGAUCUAUAGCCGACCUGAGAGGGUGAUCGGCCACAUUGGGACUGAGACACGGCCCAAACUCCUACGGGAGGCAGCAGUGGGGAAUAUUGCACAAUGGGGGAAACCCUGAUGCAGCGACGCCGCGUGAAGGAGGAAGUAUUUCGGUAUGUAAACUUCUAUCAGCAGGAAAGAAAAUGACGGUACCUGACUAAGAAGCCCCGGCUAACUACGUGCC